rnacentral:rRNA from 1 species
AGAGUUUGAUCCUGGCUCAGGAUGAACGCUAGCGGCAGGCUUAACACAUGCAAGUCGAGGGGCAGCACGGGUAGCAAUACUUGGUGGCGACCGGCGCAAGGGUGCGUAACGCGUGAGCAACAUGCCCGUAUCAGGGGGAUAAUCCAUGGAAACGUGGUCUAAUACCCCAUAGUAAGUUUUUGGGGCAUCUCAAAGAUUUUAAAGCUUUGGUGGAUACGGAUUGGCUCGCGUGACAUUAGCUAGAUGGUAAGGUAACGGCUUACCAUGGCUACGAUGUCUAGGGGUUCUGAGAGGAAGGUCCCCCACACUGGAACUGAGACACGGUCCAGACUCCUACGGGAGGCAGCAGUGAGGAAUAUUGGACAAUGGAUGGAAAUCUGAUCCAGCCAUGCCGCGUGCAGGAAGACGGCCCUAUGGGUUGUAAACUGCUUUUGUAUGGGAGCAAUAAGGGCUACGUGUAGUCCGAUGAGAGUACCAUACGAAUAAGCACCGGCUAACUCCGUGCCAGCAGCCGCGGUAAUA